UACGUAGGGUGCAAGCGUUAAUCGGAAUUACUGGGCGUAAAGCGUGCGCAGGCGGUUUUGUAAGUCUGACGUGAAAUCCCCGGGCUCAACCUGGGAAUUGCGUUGGAGACUGCAAGGCUGGAGUCUGGCAGAGGGGGGUAGAAUUCCACGUGUAGCAGUGAAAUGCGUAGAGAUGUGGAGGAACACCGAUGGCGAAGGCAGCCCCCUGGGUCAAGACUGACGCUCAGGCACGAAAGCGUGGGGAGCAAACGAGG
rnacentral:rRNA from 1 species